rnacentral:rRNA from 1 species
AUGCUCCGGCUUCGGCGCUGCGUCCUCACCCAGCUCCUCUCGUCUCGGUCCGCCUCUCCCGUCUCCCAGCUCCGCCGCCUCAUCUCUGCCGCCGCGCCCGUCGUCUCCCCGAACCCUAGCUUCGCGGUGGAGAACUACCUCGUCGACACCUGCGGCCUCACCGGGGCCCAGGCGCUCAAGGCCUCCGCCAAGCUCAACCACCUCAGGUCCCCCUCUAAUCCCGACGCCGUCCUCGCCUUCCUCGCCGGCCUCGGCCUCUCCAGCGCUCACAUCGCCGCCCUCGUCGCCAAGGACCCCAAGUUCCUCUGCGCCGGCGUAGAGAGGACCCUGGCCCCCGUCGUCGUCGGGCUCACCGGCCUCGGCCUCUCGCAUCCUGAGAUCGCGCGCCUCGUCUCGCUCGGCGGCGCCCAGUUCCGUUGUAGAUCCAUCGUCUCCAGCCUACAGUACUACCUGCACCUCUUCGGCUCCGCCGAGAAGCUCUUCCGGGUCAAGUAUGGCUCCUGCCUUCUCUCGUCCGACCUUGAGCUUGUGAUCAAGCCCAACGUCGCGUUCCUGGAGGAGUGCGGGCUGGGCGCUUGCGAUAUUGCCAAGCUGUGCACCUACGCGCCAUGGUUGCUUAGCACCAAGCUGGAGCGUCUCCAGGCAAUGGUUGCAUGCGCCGAAGGUAUAGGCGUGCCUCGGGGCUCUGGGAUGUUCAGGCAGGCGCUGCAGGUCGCAUUCUACGGCGAGGAGAAUAUCACAGCCAAAGUGGACCACUUGAAGAACAUGUUCAGGUGGUCGGAUGCUGAGGUGCGCAUUGCUGUUUCCAAAGCUCCAAUGGUGCUGACUUUGUCCAAGGACCUGCUGCAGAGGAAGUCAGAGUUCCUGGUCUCUGAAGUUGGGUUGGAACCGGCAUACAUGGCUCAUCGGUUGACAUUGCUCACUUGCAGCCUAGAGGGCCGGCUAAGGCCCUGGUACUAUGCUGUAAAGUUUCUUAAGGAAAAUGGAUUGCUAGAUCAUGGACGAGACUACUAUGCUGCAGUCGUGCUGCGCGAGAAGGUAUUCAUGGAGAAGUUCAUAUGCCCUCACAAGAAAGCUGCACCGCAACUCGCCGAAGACUAUGCAGCAGCUUGCAGAGGGGAAGUGCCGGCUAGAUUCAGAUUUACAUGA